AGAGGAACUGCAACAACUAGCAUGUGCAGUGUGCUAGCUAAAAAACAUGUGGAGGGACCAAAACAAGGACAAAUCACCAACUGAGCAUCAAAAGAAAUGACUGGAUUGAAGAGACCAGGAAAAGAUUUGGGGCAAAUCAGCAAGACUCAAACUGAACCUUCAACCUCAUGGUUUUAUUUAUUGCAAGCUGAUGUCAGUCCCAAGCUUGGAUAAAUUCAGAACGAUCUGAGUCAACUUUACCGUUAUAAGAAAGAAACAUCAUGUAGUGAGAAGACGAUCAGUGGUGAAAGUGAACACGAGGACGACAUCUGAGACCACAGUGUGUGUGUUGUUAGGGCCUGCGUCCGCCUUGACAACGGGAAGCAAGCUGGAGAUGUAGAGGACUUCAGCUCUAAAAGACUGACUAUGUGUGUCGCUGAUUGGCUAAACCAUCUAUUAAUCAUCUGAAAACGGGGAGGUUCACCACUGACCAG